rnacentral:piRNA from 1 species
UCAAAACUACUGAAUUAGACA